UACGUAGGGGGCAAGCGUUGUCCGGAAUCAUUGGGCGUAAAGAGCGUGUAGGCGGCCCGGUAAGUCCGCCGUGAAAGUCCAGGGCUCAACCCUGGAAUGCCGGUGGAAACUGUCGGGCUAGAGUCCGGAAGAGGCGAGUGGAAUUCCUGGUGUAGCGGUGAAAUGCGCAGAUAUCAGGAGGAACACCAAUGGCGAAGGCAGCUCGCUGGGACGGUACUGACGCUGAGACGCGAAAGCGUGGGGAGCAAACAGG
rnacentral:rRNA from 1 species